ACUCAAAGGAAUUGACGGGGGCCCGCACAAGCGGUGGAGCAUGUGGUUUAAUUCGAUGCAACGCGAAGAACCUUACCUACCCUUGACAUCCUCGGAACUUGUCAGAGAUGACUUGGUGCCUUCGGGAACCGAGAGACAGGUGCUGCAUGGCUGUCGUCAGCUCGUGUCGUGAGAUGUUGGGUUAAGUCCCGUAACGAGCGCAACCCUUAUCCUUAGUUGCCAACACGUCAUGGUGGGAACUCUAAGGAGACUGCCGGUGAUAAACCGGAGGAAGGUGAGGAUGACGUCAAGUCAUCAUGGCCUUUAUGGGUAGGGCCACACACGUGCUACAAUGGGCAGUACAAAGGGUUGCCAACCCGCGAGGGGGAGCUAAUCUCAAAAAACUGCUCGUAGUCCGGAUUGGAGUCUGAAACUCGACUCCAUGAAGUUGGAAUCGCUAGUAAUCGCGGAUCAGAACGCCGCGGUGAAUACGUUCCCGGGCCUUGUACACACCGCCCGU
rnacentral:rRNA from 1 species